AAGCAAGAUCACAACCGACUUCAUGAUGAGUUCUUGGAGCUCUAAAGUCCAAAGAAUCAAUCUGAAACAGAAUAUGAAAAUGUUAGUUUUCCGAAAGUUCUAUGUAAAUGAUCAGGUCUCGUCUAUUUAUAGAUUUCUAUAAAUUAGACGCUCCUGUAGUCGAAUAUGCUACUAAUAGAGUUGACUGUAUUAUAACAGUUAAGACAUAAUAGAAGCAAUCCAAUCAAACUAAUUAAUCUGCCAGCUUUAUUUCA
rnacentral:lncRNA from 1 species